UAUAGUUACUCAGGUAUAGAAACACUGGAAGAAGGUAUAAAUAUGGAGGCCUAAAGGAGUAUUUAACUUACAGCUAUCCUAUAAAACAACAAACAAGAUGAUUUUAUGUUUUUCCUGAAAAUGUGGCAUGCAAGGCUACGAAGAGAGAAACAUAGCUGCAGGAAAGCUACUAUCUGAAACUUCCAUCAGAGAACACUUUCAGGAGCACUCUCAGGGAGUCAUCUUCACAGAACAUCUGGAGGAAUAUCUGGAUUCACACUGAAGGGAUGAAAGUGGGAACUCAACAUGUCACAUGAUGGCAUUGGACUACUGCAGCAGGACUGUACCAUGGAAAGGUGUAAAAAAUGGAAGGUGUGGGAAAAUUUGACCUUCAGCUGGACUACAGUGUGUAAACUUUAUCUUAAAUAUGGGUAUGAAAAUUGUACUCUGCAAUAAACAAAAUAUAAGCUUUUCCAAAGGGAAAAUUAACAUGGAAAAUAAAAACCAUAUGAUAUAACCAUGUGUCAAAAUAAUAAUAACAAUAAUAAAAAGAUUUCAGCCUUAAAUGUAUUAUUACCUACACCUCUGAUUACUGUGGAAAAUUUUCUAAGAUUUCCUAUUUAACACAUAUCUUUUCAGGAUUUCUGUCACAGUUCAUGCAGUUCACACUGACAGGGUCUCUGUUCAGGGGAAAACUUAACCAAAAAGACAUUCUCCUUG
ensembl:lncRNA